rnacentral:lncRNA from 1 species
CUUGCUAAACAUUACCUCUCAAAAAAACAAAAGAUGACACUUCCUGACAUGCCCUCUGUGUAUAAAUUGUUAGUCCCUCAGAUGUUCCCAUCACUGAAGGGAAUCAUACAGGCCUCGCUGACCAUCCCAGUUAGCAGCUGUGAGAGAUCUUUCAGUGCAUUAAUACGUCUACAUACCUGGUUUAGGAGCCCAAUGACCCGACAUAGAAUGCAUCAUGACAAUUGACAAAGAUACUAACACGCUCGGGAAAGAGUGAAUAAUUAAUUAAAGAACAAAGAAAACUUGAGUUACUCUUUGCCAAAUAAUUUGUUCUAAUACCAGAUUUGAAUUGACGCGACUCGACAUUAUGAACACUAAAGCUGCUUCUUUCUCCAAUAGAAAUUCCGGAUCAUACUCGUAGGCGACGUCAUGGCAACGUCGGCUAGCUAAUGCGUAGAAUCACGUCAUCGCGUCGAACCAACGUCUCGCGUCGAACUGCGCAUGUGCAGGCCGCCAAAAAUCAACGGCACGCCUUCGAUUAUAAAGCCGUUUUUCUUUGUUGUCGAAAAUCAAAACGUGUUAGUUUGUAAUUCUCACGAAUCUUGGAGCGAUACCAAAUUCAACUACUUUAAGACAUUGGCUCGAAUUUUGUUUGUGCCUUCAGGUUUCGAGGAAAGGAACAAACUAAGAAAUAAUUGUUAACUUCUCAAACCAAAGGCCCGGAAACUCUGUGCGUAAAUGUUACAUUCUGGCGCAUACCGCUUUUUACUAGCUAGCUGACGGAUGUUUUCAGACAUAUUUUUCAAAAGAUAUGGGAAGUCUUUUUUUUGUCUUGAAUUUCAUUCAAACGUAAUGGAGGCCAAGGGAUUUGCAGUAGUUCACCACCAGUAAAGGUACAGCGUUAACUAGCCUUUCAGGUUAGUACAACUAACUAGUUAGCGCAGCUGCAAACCGUAGUAGCCUAACCUAGCUUGUUAGCUAGCGAAAGAACAUGUGACUAGGUAGAUAGCAAAUGUUCGCUGGAUCUCCAAAUACGAUCUAGGCGUUUGCAGCCACUUAGCUAACUUAUAUUGGGCAAAUGAUAAUAGCUAGUUAUCAAGUUAGCUUGCUCACAUCAGUUUUAUGGUCCAUGUUUUAAUUGAUGCAAAAUGGACGUUAAGCAAGAGGAAAAUGAGCGGGAGCUAUCCCAAACAAUAAUUUGGUCUGAUUCGAUUAAUGCCUGGAUAGAUUACCCAAGUUCUCUAUUGUCAAAAAACACAGAAACAGGUUCCCAUGUGGGUUUACUGAAAGAGCGUACAUGUGUACCUACCGUAAGUCCCCAAACAACAAGUCGAGGGCAGAUUUUACGUAUUUUUCCUGAAAUGACCGGAGCAAGUGAUGGGGAGAACAGGGGUGUCAAAAUUGUUUAUUUCUGCAAAGACCAAGAUACCAUCAGCACAUCUGAAAGGCAUUCGAUCAAAGAGGAGUCAGGACAUGUAUCAACCCUCAGUGAUUCUUUUGAAGCUCAAAUCAACCCAAAGUCACAGGGUUUUAGCCGAAAACAGACCCGGACCAAUAAUGAAUUGCCUGUAGACAAUGUUAAUAUCCAAGGCCAUAGUACUGCCAUUACUUCUGUGCUGACCUCACCUGCUAUAGAAAGUGGCUAUAAUUUAUCUGUAUCUAAUAUUAUUCCAGAAUAUUGUGAGCCAUUGAACUUUCCCUCAGAUGAAGAAGAAGACUACAAUACCAAUUUAAGACGAAGAUUGCAAUGCCAAAAAACGGUUGAGGAUAAAUAUCUAUGGCAGUGCCGUGGCUGUUACUCAAAACCUAACCCCAAAAGAUUUGGGAAAUAUUUGAAAGAUCCAUAUGCUAAGUGCAAGGAAAUAGGAAUAGAUUUCCAUGUUAGAUCUGGAGCGAGACAGAAACUUGAUUUGCAUUUACUGACAAUUGGUGUAAUGAUCGAAGUGUCUGAAUAUGUUAAAAACAUUAAUAGAUCUAACAAGCAUGUUAUCUUUGAUAUUCUAGAUUACAACUUUGAUCUUGGUGUGCAAAAUGAAGUACGAGGUUACUUUUCAAACAAGAUAGAAAGAAAAUUAAAUGACAUGCUGAAGAUGUAUACCAAGAGGAGAAAUCCUGAGUGGUUAAAAGAAGUGUUUGAACUUCCUGAUUCAAAGACAAUGAACGCAUGGGGAAAAUCUCGGUUUGCACGGUCCAAUUUGAAUAACAGCGUGUCAGAAAAUCCUACACCUUUUGACAUCUGCAUAAAGGAGAAGCCUGUUGUGGACCUGAUAGCUCCUCUGCAUGUGACGACUGAGAACCUCUCUACUCAGACAGAUGUAACACGAUGUGCUGAGACAGCAAUCCUUGACCCUGAAAAUGGACCUAAUGAUAUCUGCACAAGGGAUAAGUCAGAUCUGGGCGUCAUCCAUCAUGUCAAGACGGAGACUGUCAGCACUCAGACAGACAUGACAAUGGACCAAUCCUUCAUGAUGCCCACAGUAGAAGAAGCAUUGAGUGAACUCUACCCAAUCUGUAAGGAAAAAGGACUUGACCUUGAUGUGAAAUCAACAUUUGGGAAAAAGGAGAAACUUGACUUGCGUCUAUUGACCAGAGAGGUAAUGAUUGAAUUGGCUGAUUUUACCUCACAAAUGUGUGGAAAUUGGAAGCAGAUGGUCUGUGAUGUUGUUGAGCAUAAUUUUGAUCUGGAUUUAAAAAGUGGGAAAACUGACCUGGCUGAAGAUAUCAUUAAUAGGUUAAGAGCAGCUUUGCAGCCCAAUGUAAAUUUAAAAUUACAUGAUCACCGACUGAGAUGUGAAUUAGAAAAGGAAUACUUUUUCUUGAAGAAUUCGUGCAAACUCAAGAAUGAUACAGAGAUGUCCAGUAACCAGGUAACUACAGCAUCAUUUGAGCCGAAUGAUCAAAUGAAAGAAGUGUCGAAAAGGAGGAGAUUGGAUUUAAUGAAAAAGGAAAAAGAAAUGGACACGUGCGUAGCCAGGGAGACGGAGGGAGUCCGUUUCGAAGUCAGACCAGUAGAAUCUCAUUGUGUCAAGAAGGAGAGAAUCUCUGAUGAGACUGACCUUGCACUUUGUAUUGAUGAAACAAAGCAAAUUGUUGUUACCAACUUGGACCAAUCAAAUGUGACGUCUAACACCAAAAAAGUUGUCAACGCGUGCUACACACGCUGUGAGGAAAUAGGUCUGGACCUUGAUGUUGCAUUCAAACCCUCUAAAAAGAAACUGGAAUUUCAGUUACUGACAAACGGUGUAGUAUUUGAGGUGUAUAAAUAUGCUAAAAUAAAACCCUAUCCCCUAAAAGCAGAAGGAUGGGGGCAUAUUCUCUAUGCUAUUCUAGAAUACAAUUUUGACCUUAGUUUGCAAAAUCAGAGACGAAGUCAAUUUCAAUUUUGGAUUUAUCGUAAAGUGAAAAGAAUGGUUAAAAAACACAGACUUCAACUCACAAGAAGGGACAAACUCUCAAAAGAAUUGUUUGUAAUACCAAAUGUGAUUCAAACCAAAGCAAAAAAAACAGUGCUUUAAGAUUAUUUCCCCGGAAAAAUGUAUGGAACAAGAUGAACAAAAACGAGUUUAUCUUCAUCAUGUUAGACACUAUCGCCAUGGAGACGAUUUGAAACAAUCUCCACUGAUGAAGCAGCAAUGCUUGGCCAGGAUAAAAUGGACCAGACCUUCACUCUGAGAUCAAAGUGGUUUAUUUCUGUGAAGACCAAGAUACCGUCAGAACAUCUGAAGAGCACUUGAUCAUGGCAUGGAUCAACACCCAGUAAUAUUCGGGAAAAAAAUGUAUUCAGCCUCCCACAAGUCACCACUACCGACUGCAGAAAGGAGUUCUUUUGAAAGUCAAAUCAACCCAACUUCACAGAUGUUUUUUAAAAUAUUUUUAUUUCACCUUUAUUUAACCAGGUAGGCAAGUUGAACAAGUUACGUUAUGUAACAAGUUAUGUAACCAGAAGGUCACUACAGCUUCACUUGAGCCAAAGACUGAAAGGAGUAACAGAAAAGAGGAGAUUUAAUGAGGAAAAAUAAAUAAGUUGAUAUGUUUUAUAGCCACGAAGACCAAUGACAUGUAAUGCUAUGAAGUCAGACAAGUAGAACCUCAUUGUGACGAGACAGAGAGCAUCUCUGAUGUUUCAUCCCAGUAGAACCUCAUUGUGACGAGACAGAGAGCAUCUCUGUUGUUUCAUCCCAGUAGAACCUCAUUGUGACGAGACAGAGAGCAUCUCUGUUGUUUCAUCCCAGUAGAACCUCAUUGUGAUGAGUCACAGAGCAUCUCUGGUGUCAGAGGAAGGUCUUAAAAAUUGUCAGACUGUUCUGUCUGCUACCGCACAGCAAGCGGUACCGGAGCGCCAAGUCUGGGACCAAAAGGCUCCUUAACAGCUUCUACCCCCAAGUGAUAAGACUGUUAAACAGUUAAUCAAAUGGCUACCCGGACUAUUUGCAUUGCCCCCCUUUUUUAUGCUGUUGCUACUCGCUGUUUAUAAUCUAUGCGUAGUCAGUUUACCCCUACCUACAUGUACAUAUUACCUCAAUUUACACGACUAACCUGUACACCCGCACAUUGAUUCUGCACCGGUACCCCUUGUAUAUAGUCUCCUUAAUGGUAUUUUAUUGUAUUACUUUUUUAUCUUGCUUUAGUUAUGUUUUUUAAAUAGCAAAUAUUUUCUUAAUUAAUAAAAAAAAUCUGCAUUGUUAGUUAAGAGCUUGUCAGAAAGCAUUUCGCAGUAAGGUCUACACCUGUUGUAUUCGGCGCGUGUGACAAAUAAAAUUGUAUUUGAUUUAACUUAAUCUCCUCUCGGCCAGGAAAUAGAAUGGAGAAAAAUAUUACCGUGACCAGGAAAAGGAGUCUGAUGCAGAUAGAUUAAAGUCAUUGUAAUAUGUUAGGUUGAUUCUUGCCAAACUUUUUAAAUAUUUUGUAGUCGAGACUGGUUCUGAUAAGAAAUUCAAACAAAUCCCAGAAUUACAGAUCAGAUAUCCUAGGGUUUGUGGGUAUUAGAAAAUAUGCAAAACGUCAAGUGCUGUCAGUGUUGCAUUUGUAACCUUUGACAUGUUCAAGAAAACUCGCUCUUUGGAAUGCCUCUGGACAAUGGACAGUGAAAAAGACUUGUGUUGAAAUCAGGGCAGAGAGAACAGGGUUGUAGUCAAAAAGAAGAAGGGCUGUUGAGCAGGUGUGGUAGAGAGAAACACUAAAGCAGUGGAGCUAAAGUCUGGACAGGAUGUAGUCUAACGGUGGAAAAAAUUACACAAACUGGUUGAUGCACACAUUACAAUGACAACAGUUGCAACAAGCUUACUCUGAAUUGACCCAAAGACCAUACUUAGAAUGGUUCCUAAUGGAAGACUAAUUUCCUGUCUCCCUGAAGUCAAUAGACUCACAUUCUAUACCUCACAGAGUCAACAAGCCUACCAGAGAUUCAACUCCAUUGUAUUCAUUAGGAAUACUGUAGCAAAACGUGCAAAUGGUGUACCAAUUAACCUAGUCUUUUUAGUAUUCAGUGAAAUAAUGGGAAAUGUAUGUAUGUAUAUAUGUAUAUGUGUUUGACUUAUUUGGAUUAAGGGUUUAGACUUUGAUUUGUGGAUUGUGUAGAUUCCCUUGGCCUCCUGUUAACACUUGAUGCCUGGUCUUGCUGUAAAGAGACUGAAUACAGCAUGAUUAUUGCUACACUUCAUUUGUUUUCAGCGUUGAACGACGUUUCAAUUGACAAGCCAAACUCCACUACCUUUACAAGCCUCAAUAGAAGAACCUCUGAUCUUCUUUGUUAGAUAUAAGAAGGUAAACAAGGAUAUAUAUAUUUUUUUAAAUAAGACUUGCGUUGGUGAAAGAACCUACUAUGAUGGAGCAUGUUUUUCUUUUAGAAAAUAUAUUUGGAACUUUUCCGGGGUUUUUUCUAGCAAGAUUAAGAGACCGUACAUCAAGACUUGCUUUACUGAAACCAGUACUUCCUGUUUUGAACAUGAAGUUAUUCUACCAUCAACUGUGAAGUGGAAGUGUUUUGUUUGUUUUGAAGAGGACACUUUCACUAACGUUCUUAGCUGUUUCUCGGGACACCUGUGAGCCUCGGAUAAAAAGGUGAUGUGUGUUUGCAGUCUUAUCCCUUUUCUACUGUUUCAACUCUUCACAAAUGAAAACAUCUAAUCGCCAAAGGUUGACGCCAAUAAAGUCUCUCUGCUGGUGACGACGAGGUGGCCUCUACUAGUGAAGACGAGGUGGCCUCUCUACUAGUGAUGACGAGGUGGACUCUCUACUAGUGAUGACGAGGUGGACUCUCUACUAGUGAUGACGAGGUGGCCUCUCUACUAGUGAUGACGAGUCGGACUCUCUACUAGUGAUGACGAGGUGGACUCUCUACUGGUGAAGACGAGGUGGCCUCUCUACUAGUGAUGACGAGGUGGACUCUCUGCUGGUGAAGACGAGGUGGACUCUCUGCUGGUGAAGACGAGGUGGCCUCUCUACUAGUGAUGACGAGGUGGACUCUCUGCUGGUGAAGACGAGGUGGCCUCUCUACUAGUGACGACGAGGUGGCCUCUCUGCUGGUGACGACGAGGUGGCCUCUCUGCUGGUGACGACGAGGUGGCCUCUCUGCUGAUCCUCUAUUUCCAUACAAGAUGGACAUGAAGUCUGUCUCCAUCUUCAACCUGUGGAUUUGCUCUGAGGAUGUUGGACACCACCGUUGCACCUUCAGCCACACUAAUUUCCUGUCAGACUGGUUGUCUUUGAACUCCAUGCCAUGGACUGACUAAUCUGAACAUUUACUACAACAGGAAUACAAAUGUUCAUCAGACUCACCACACACGGUGGACAGACUACUCUCUAACUGGUUGUGAGGUUACAGGAAAUAGACUGAUCUGUUAUGAGGGACUGCCAGGUUGUGUAACAGAAUAAUACAGCCAGCUCAUCUUCAUUUCUCUUCUGUUAGGCCUUCUGACAUGUUGGUCUCUGUUGUUGGAACUGUCAGUCUUUGUUCUGGGCUUCAGUUUUCAUCAUGGUGGAUGCAGAAUUGUAAUCCUGAUUAGAUUAUGGUUAUAAAGACUUCAGGAUGUAGCCAGUACAUUGAAGUCCACUCUCUAGAUAAUAUAAAAGUCCUGGGAGAGGGACCGUGCUUCCAGGAGAAGGAUAACAGGACCUUGUCCAGAGACAACCCCCAGCCCUUAACCUCCAAGGGACUUGUGUACAGGGAGUUUAAUACAGAGAAUGUAAUACAAUAUUUGAUACGAUCAGGGAAUUUGACAUACAGUAUGGAUUACGUUUUGAAAAUUCAAUGAUCAUUACAUUUAUUUUUUUGUCAUUUUUUCCCCCCACAUUUUAUUGCACUGUAAGUGUUUGGCAGUUCUCAUGGAAACGUGGAAUUUUUUAACGUGUCUUAAGAGUGGAAACCCUAGAAAUGUACCCUCUGAUAGGCUAGAUCGAAUAAUUUCAGAUCUGUGAACAUUUCGUCUUUCAGAGGGCAUGUUUUACCUGAUUAUACCACAGUCUUUGAGUUUUACAUGAAUUCUAGUCUUAUCAACAAAAAAACACCACAUCCGGAAUGGGCGCCAGAUUUGUUUUGGGAAAAACGUUUUAAUUUUGUAAAAUAAAAAAUCCUGUAAUUCUACACAUUUUGCCAUGUUUUUAUGACGUGUUCAAAGUCUGAUUUGUAUUGUAUUCUUUGGGUUGGGGGGCCCCCUGGAGGUCAGGCAAGCGCCCUGCAUGUCCGGUCAGUAAUCCUGCUCUACUCCUGUGUCGGGUUCACAAACUUUUUCUGCAAACAAUUCCAAAUUGACACUAGAAAAUGGAGGGGACCCUACUUGGAGAAAUUAUAAUCCCAAAUUAACACUUCAGAUUCACAGCUUUAGGUACCUCAGGCUGUCCCAACAACAAUAAUGAUAUGAAAAAGCGCAUUCCAAUAGUGUAAAAAAGCAUUAAGGUCCCGAUUCAAUCAGAUCCGCACGUCGUCGGAGCUGUCAAAUCCACAAGUGCUGCACGGAGUUGCAUUAGCGUAUAUGCACCUAAAUAUUUUUGCUCUGCGACCUGGAAUUUUAAUUUUACGAGAAGAAGAAAAAAAAAUCGCCCAGAUAAUUGUUGCAAUGGUUCCUUCACUACGGAAGCCCCUAAAUGUGGGGGACACACUGAGCACAGGUUCAUGACCGUCAUACUUGCACCAUUACUACAAAGAAAACGGCUUGUUAUCAACAACAACCACAAAAUUGUGCUCCUACUUUUUCCCUUGUAAAAAAAAAAGGUAGAGGACUGCCUUGUUUACGUGUUCAAACACUGGAAUGUGAGAUGUAAUCCUAUACCCUGAUUAAAAUGAUAGAACACCUAAUUCUUUAAUGGUUUUUCAAUCUGAGUGUAAUUAUUUCAAUAUAGCCUAGUUUUGAACUUGUAACAGGAAUGGGACGGUUGUGACUUUGUG